GACGAACGCUGGCGGCGCGCUUAAUACAUGCAAGUCGAGCGAGAACCAGUCCUUCGGGACUGGGGAAAGCGGCGAACGGGUGAGUAACACGUGGGUAAUCUGCCCUCGGCACUGGGAUAGCCCGGGGAAACCCGGAUUAAUACCGGAUCGCCUUUCGAGUCUUCGGGCUCGUCAGAAAAGGUGGCUUCGGCUUCAGGCUGAGGAUGAGCCCGCGGCGGAUUAGCUUGUGGGGGGGGUAAUGGCUCACCAAGGCUCCGAUCCGUAGCGGGUCUGAGAGGACGAUCAGCCACACUGGGACUGAGACACGGCCCAGACUCCUACGGGAGGCAGCAGUAGGGAAUCUUGCGCAAUGGGCGAAAGCCUGACGCAGCGACGCCGCGUGCGGGAAGAAGGCCUUCGGGUUGUAAACCGCUUUCAGGAGGGACGAAGCCACUCGGGUUAAUAGCCCAGAGGGUGACGGUACCUCCAGAAGAAGCCCCGGCUAACUACGUGCCAGCAGCCGCGGUAAUAC
rnacentral:rRNA from 1 species